AAGGUGCCCAUGAUAAAUACUGUUAUCUUCCCGUGGUGUUAGAUUGCUGCUUGCCUUUCUGCAGGCAAGCAAGAAGCAAGGCUAGUGAACCCCCUUUAGUGCAGCCUCAGCAAACAUGAAUUUGAUUAUAGAAACAUGAAAAGUCUGCAGGGCUCUGUAGUAUUGUCUCCCUUGGCUGUGCCUAAGACAGGCACAGGGAAGAACUUGCACUUCUUCCCUUUAAAACCCUUUCAAAUUAUACAGUAGUUAACUGAAAUACCUAAAUAGCCUUUGGCACAAGGACAAGAACCAGGACUCACAUGAGAUAACACACAAAAGAAUCCUUCCACCACUGUUUUUCAGUAAAAGACUUUAAACAGCAUUGUUGUUUCUUCUUGGUGCUGUUAUGUGCUGGAUUUUGGAAACAGAAUGUGGCUUGGGCCACCUUUAUCUCUUCUCCUCUGGCCUUUGGCAUUUUCCCAUUCACAGUGCUCCAGUGGGUGACAAAGUCCACACUUCUGACAGGACUGCCCUAUGGGGUCAGGAUGGUGCAACGAGGAAGUAAGCCCUGUUGCAUGACUCCAGCUGAUUACACGACACAGCUGGGAAAACUUAUUGCAGCCUGCCACAGUCUUCCUGUGCAUCAGUGGGACACUUACAGAGGGACAAUGAACCCAGAUGUCUCAGCAUUCAAAAGGCAACCUGCACUCUCCUCUUUAUAGUGGUUUCCAGGAGACGGAUACUGCCAGAGUACUCGUGUGUUUUCCUGGUGAUGACUUCAUCCCAUUCUUCUUCAGACAGAAGAGAAAGGCCAGCAUCUUUGUUUUGAUAACUCUUCUUACCUGGAAAGAGCCAAGGCAGACUGAAUGAUUUCUACUUCCCCUCUACCAAAACAGUAGCUUUUACUGAGUCUAAAUAAACUGGUGAAGGGAAGGACAGCAUCUAAUCUGGAGACUUUCACCCUGCAAGCAUUAACACAGGCUCAGUGCAUUGCUGAGUGCUCUCGUUUUGGCUACUGCGGAUUCCUUAACUGAUUUUUUUAUACAUAAAAAACAAAGCAGAGAUAAGUAUUUCCUGCUGUUAGUCCUGCUGUGCUACUGUAAAAUGACAGAAUUACUGGUCAGUAGACGUUAAAAUUAGGGUAAUUUUCC